GAUAGAGAGGAGAGAGACAGAGAGACACCUAUAAACCUGCUUCACCUCUUGUAAAGCUUUCCCCCUGCAGGUGGGGACUGGGGGCUCGAACCCGGGUCCUCGUGCACUGUAAUAUGUGUGCUCAAACAGGUGCGCCACCAACCGGCCCCCUCUAGUGAAUUUUAAAAGAUCUAUUGGGUUAUAACUUAAUUUCCCUCCUUCAAAAGGAACUUAACUGUUUUGAGGGUAGUAAUUAUGAAUCGAAUUCCUAGUACAUUGUUUUACUGAAUUAACAGAACUCUAAAAAGGUUUCCAAAUUAGUUUUAUUUUAAAACACACAUACUGUUUAUAUCUAGACCAAGGCUUCUUUCUUGUAGAGGAGUAGUGUAGUUGUGAGUUUCAAAGGUCUGGGGAAAAAAAGGAAAAGGAAACAUCUUAAAGUACAGAUAGUAGUUUCAGUACACAAAUAUAUUUCAAAACUUGUAUCUAUUUCUCCCAACAACAAGUCAUUCAAAAUCAAAUCUAGCUCUAGUUGAGUAUCUCUCUUAGAGCAGAAUUUAAGUAGAAACUUGUGGCCACCAACAUGACUAUUUUGUUUGAGGAGCUUUGUAUUUUGUUAAAAUAGUAAUGGUUAUUACAAAAAUACAUGUGGUGACUGAAAAAGCCAGAUGAAUCAAAGGUAGUAUUUGAAAUUUGAUGUUUCAUCUUUAUAGCUACGGCCUUAGAGGUAACAUAGUGAAUAAAGAGAUGGACCCUCAAGUAUGAAGACUCAAGUUUGAUCCCUGGCAUUGCAUGUGCCGGAGUGAUGCUCUGAUAUUGAAAGAGAUGAAGAGAGAAUGGGAGAGACACACACUGUCCACAGUGUUUCUCCUGCUAUCAAUCAUAGUUUCCAUGUAGUACCUGAACUUGAAUCCAGAUCCUGUGCAUGCCACCAGGUUCCAGAUGCUACCAUGAUGCCAACUGGACUUCCCUGGGCAGACAACCCCACCAAUGUGUCCUGGAGCCCUGCCCCACUAGGGAAAGAGAGAGACAGGCUGGGAGUAUGGAUCAACCUGCUAAUGCCCAUGUUCAGCAGGGAAGAAAUUACAAAAGACAGACCAUCCACCUUCUGCACCCCAUGGUCCAUACUCCCAGAGGGAUAAAGAAUAGGAAAGCUAUCAGGGGAGGAGAUGGGAUACGGAGUUUUAGUGGUGGGAAUUGUGUGGAGUUGUACCCCUUAUUCUAUGGUUCUUGUCAGUGUUUUCUUUUUAUAAAUAAAAAUUAUACAUAUAUAUUAAAGAAGCUUCUCAUCUUUUGAGGAGACAGGUUAGAAAACUGAGGCAGGGGGGGCAGGCAGUAGCACACUGGGUUAUGAUGUGCACAUAGUACAAAGCACAA